GCUCAGAUAGCUCAGUUGGUUAGAGCGCGUCCUUGGUAAGGACGAGGUCCUGAGUUCAAUCCUCAGUCUGGGCU
rnacentral:tRNA from 1 species